AAAGGUAUACAAGGUUUCCGUAGGUGAACCUGCGGAAGGAUCAUUACCUAGAGUUGUAGGCUUUGGCCUGCUAUCUCUUACCCAUGUCUUUUGAGUACCUUCGUUUCCUCGGCGGGUCCGCCCGCCGAUUGGACAAUUUAAACCAUUUGCAGUUGCAAUCAGCGUCUGAAAAAACUUAAUAGUUACAACUUUCAACAACGGAUCUCUUGGUUCUGGCAUCGAUGAAGAACGCAGCGAAAUGCGAUAAGUAGUGUGAAUUGCAGAAUUCAGUGAAUCAUCGAAUCUUUGAACGCACAUUGCGCCCCUUGGUAUUCCAUGGGGCAUGCCUGUUCGAGCGUCAUUUGUACCUUCAAGCUCUGCUUGGUGUUGGGUGUUUGUCUCGCCUCUGCGUGUAGACUCGCCUCAAAACAAUUGGCAGCCGGCGUAUUGAUUUCGGAGCGCAGUACAUCUCGCGCUUUGCACUCAUAACGACGACGUCCAAAAGUACAUUUUUACACUCUUGACCUCGGAUCAGGUAGGGAUACCCGCUGAACUUAAGCAUAUCAAUAAGCGGAGGAA
rnacentral:rRNA from 1 species